AAAUUGAAGAGUUUGAUCAUGGCUCAGAUUGAACGCUGGCGGCAGGCCUAACACAUGCAAGUCGAACGGUAACAGGAAGAAGCUUGCUUCUUUGCUGACGAGUGGCGGACGGGUGAGUAAUGUCUGGGAAACUGCCUGAUGGAGGGGGAUAACUACUGGAAACGGUAGCUAAUACCGCAUAACGUCGCAAGACCAAAGAGGGGGACCUUCGGGCCUCUUGCCAUCGGAUGUGCCCAGAUGGGAUUAGCUUGUUGGUGGG
rnacentral:rRNA from 1 species